CGACACGGUUCGAUAAGCUGCGGAAGAUCAAAGAGUUCUACAGCCGAGGACUUAAUACCAAUCCGACAACAGGAUAAUUUGACGCCAGGAACAAGUUAGGUCAGCCGCACGAAGGUCGUUCUACGCAAAUGCUAUGUAAACCUAACCAUAUGCAAUGACAGUAAUUGCGCGCAAACAUCAGGAGCAAAUAUACUUCAUACGUGUUCUAUUUGAAAGGAAAAAUGUUCACGUGGUCAAGAAUGUACAAGCAUUGAGGAAAGCAUGAACAAAAUGAAAGGAUUUGUGGGUCGGGCCAAAGAGACUGAAACAGUCGUGUGUUGCUAGUGAACCGAGGAAUCGGGGAUUUCCAUGUAUUAAAUAAACAUUUCGCCGCUGUCAAAGCAAAGUAUGGCGCUGUAGUAUGGUGUCCCAUGUCCAUGACCAUACAGGGCAACUCAUAAAGUAUGCAAUUGGACAAGGUAAGACGACACGCUUGCACCGUGACUGCGUCGUUGCUCGGCCAUUCGCUAAAUUAUUAUCGGGACCUCUCACCUUUCUAUCUAAUAAUCUACCUAGUAGCAGACAAGAGCAUUAGUGUUGACAAAUGCUUUUCCUAACGUUUCUCUCAGAACCUGUUGAGAUUCCAUUUGGUCGGAGUGACUCAGUGGAUAAGCGGAAAUAAUGUAAUUAACACCUUCCAUGCGAAACCAAACUGUCAACUCGAAGACAACAAAAUUCUAGUGCAUAUGUAAGCAUCUCAUACUUCAUGUUCAAGAAAUGUUACGUACGGAACAAACAAACAUAAAAAUGAAGACAUCUCCGACUUUAUGUAGCUCUGAAAAUGUAUUAACGUGGUUCGCAAACCACGUCGUAAAAUUGGAUGUUGAUAAAUAUACCUAUGAUCAACUAGUUCGCUGAUAUCUAAAAUGUAUAUGUAAUGGCACUCGUAAUCGGAUAUACUGAUUAAAUGGGUACACGCGUGCAAUCUUAUAGUUAUCGUGACUGAAAUGAGUACUUUAUGAGAGCUUGACGCGCAUAGAAGCAUUAAAAACGUAUAUCGUUACAUAAAACUGAAUUACAUAAUUACUUCUUCGUACAAUGUAACGAUCUUUCUCCUUCGUAACGAUAUUUCUUUAAUUAUCUGUCACAUUUUGAUA